UGGUGAAUAUUGCGCAAUGGGGGAAACCCUGACGCAGCAACGCCGCGUGCGGGAUGAAGGCCUUCGGGUUGUAAACCGCUUUCAGCAGGGAAGACAUCGACGGUACCUGCAGAAGAAGCCCCGGCUAACUACGUGCCAGCAGCCGCGGUACUACGUAGGGGGCGAGCGUUAUCCGGAUUCAUUGGGCGUAAAGCGCGCGCAGGCGGUUGCUCAAGCGGAACCUCUAAUCUCGGGGCUUAACCUCGAGCCGGGUUCCGAACUGGACGACUCGAGUGCGGUAGAGGCAGAUGGAAUUCCCGGUGUAGCGGUGGAAUGCGCAGAUAUCGGGAAGAACACCAACGGCGAAGGCAGUCUGCUGGGCCGUCACUGACGCUGAGGCGCGAAAGCUGGGGGAGCGAACAGG
rnacentral:rRNA from 1 species